CUACGGGGUGCAGCAGUGGGAAAUAUUGCACAAUGGGGGAAACCCUGAUGCAGCAACGCCGCGUGGAGGAUGACGCAUUUCGGUGUGUAAACUCCUUUUAUAUAGGAAGAUAAUGACGGUACUAUAUGAAUAAGCACCGGCUAACUCCGUGCCAGCAGCCGCGGUAAUACGGAGGGUGCAAGCGUUACUCGGAAUCACUGGGCGUAAAGCGCGCGCAGGCGGCCUUUUAAGUUGGAUGUGAAAGCCUAUGGCUUAACCAUAGAACUGCAUCCAAAACUAUCAGGCUAGAGUCUGGGAGGGGAAGAUGGAAUUAGUUGUGUAGGGGUAAAAUCCGUAGAGAUAACUAGGAAUACCAAAAGCGAAGGCGAUCUUCUGGAACAGUACUGACGCUGAGGCGCGAAAGCGUGGGGAGCAAACAGGAUUAGAUACCCUUGUAGUC
rnacentral:rRNA from 1 species